rnacentral:rRNA from 1 species
AUACGUAUGUCGCAAGCGUUAUCCGGAUUUAUUGGGCGUAAAGCGCGUCUAGGCGGCUUAGUAAGUCUGAUGUGAAAAUGCGGGGCUCAACCCCGUAUUGCGUUGGAAACUGCUAAACUAGAGUACUGGAGAGGUAGGCGGAACUACAAGUGUAGGGGUGAAAUUCGUAGAUAUUUGUAGGAAUGCCGAUGGGGAAGCCAGCCUACUGGACAGAUACUGACGCUAAAGCGCGAAAGCGUGGGUAGCAAACAGGAUUAGAUACCCUGGUAGUCCACGCCGUAAACGAUGAUUACUAGGUGUUGGGGGUCGAACCUCAGCGCCUAAGCUAACGCGAUAAGUAAUCCGCCUGGGGAGUACGUACGCAAGUAUGAAACUCAAAUGAAUUGACGGG